UAGAAACUAAGAGCAGAUUUUCAGAUGUG
rnacentral:piRNA from 1 species